rnacentral:rRNA from 1 species
UACGUAGGGUGCAAGCGUUAAUCGGAAUACUGGGCGUAAAGCGUGCGCAGGCGGUUUUGUAAGUCUGUCGUGAAAUCCCCGGGCUUACCACUGGGAAUGCAUUUGGUGACUGCACGGCUAGAGUGUGUCAGAGGGGGGUAGAAUUCCACGUGUAGCAGUGAAAAUGCGUAGAGAUGUGGAGGAAUACCGAUGGCGAAGGCGGCAUCCUGGACCGGCAUUGACGCUGAGGCGCGGAAAAGCCCAGGGGAGCAAACGGGG